rnacentral:lncRNA from 1 species
CCCGCCAUCUCGGGCUUGGAGUCCGAAAAAUGGAGGGCGACUGUUGGUGGAGGUCUUGCACGCUGGAGGCGGCGGAUCCCCGGCUGUAAACGGCGACGAGGAGCUUCAUGCUCCUUCCGCCGGAAUGGCCGAGAAACGGUGAGGACGCAGGCAAGCGUCUGGAGACGUCGCCGCUUACCUCCGACGCGUCAUCGAGCCGCGACCGGCGAGGAUCCGUCCUACGAGGUCGCGCGACGUCGUCUGCAUCGUGGCUUCGAGCGGCGGCGGCGUGGCUCCAGGGCUCCGGGCGUGGUGACGAGAAAGGAGGCGGCAGCUGCUGCUGCAAAUCCUUUUCUCAAACCCUUGCUGCUGAAAAUUGGGUUUUGGGCCAAGAGGAGUUGUUGGGCUGCAGUGUUCAAAGGCUGGGCCUGUUCCUUUUGUGGGCUGCUGCUGUGGACUUCUGUGGGCUGCGAAAAUGAUUUUUUAAAGCGGCUGGGCUUGUUUUAUUAAAUACCCAGCUGAAA